rnacentral:rRNA from 1 species
GACGAACGCUGGCGGCGCGCCUAACACAUGCAAGUCGAACGGAGUUGUGUUGAAAGCUUGCUGGAUAUACAACUUAGUGGCGGACGGGUGAGUAACACGUGAGUAACCUGCCUCUCAGAGUGGAAUAACGUUUGGAAACAGCUGCUAAUACCGCAUAAUGCAACGGAAUCGCAUGACUCUGUUGCCAAAGAUUUAUCGCUCUGAGAUGGCCUCGCGUCUGAUUAGCUAGUUGGCGGGGUAACGGCCCACCAAGGCGACGAUCAGUAGCCGGACUGAGAGGUUGGCCGGCCACAUUGGGACUGAGACACGGCCCAG